UAAUAAGUGUUUUAUGGCACUUUUUAAAUCCAUAUCCACCUUGUGUGCAAUGUCCAGGUCGAUCUUCUUUCUUUGAGGAUCGACCAAACAUCAACCUUUAUCUUUUAACUCUUUGUCUGAAAAAUAUUAUGAAUAAACAAUUCAAAAUA
rnacentral:misc_RNA from 1 species